CAAGGCUUCUACAAGGGUCAAAGGUUUGUGUGUUUUCCAUUAACUAUAUGAAACUAUCAAUCUCCAUAUGGUACUUCUCUGCAUUACUGUCUGACUCAGUUAAUGUCUUCCAUCAUGUAUUUCAGCAGUUAAAGUGUUAACAUUCUAGAUUCAGUUAAUGUCUUCCAUCAUGUAUUUCAGCAGUUAAAGUGUUAACGUUCUAGAUUUAGUUCAUGUCUUCCAUCAUGUAUUUCAGCAGUUAAAGUGUUAACGUUCUAGAUUCAGUUCAUGUCUUCCAUCAUGUAUUUCAGCAGUUAAAGUGUUAACAUUCUAGAUUCAGUUCAUGUCUUCCAUCAUAUAUUUCAGCAGUUAAAGUGUUAACAUUCUAGAUUCAGUUCAUGUCUUCCAUCAUGUAUUUCAGCAGUUAAAGUGUUAACAUUCCAUUGUUGCAGGAGCAGUAACAGAUUUGAACCUUAGGUUUUAUUGAUGUUAUCACGUCCCGGAAAAACCUUGAUAACACCUUGGACUACUGUCUUGAUAACACCUUGGACUACGGUCUUGCCAUAGAUCACCUGAAACAGCUACGUAAAUUGUGAAAGUUAGUGUAUUUAAACCGAGUUUAUGGGAAAUUUGACAAAGAAAAACAGAGAUAGGAGAGCUGUAUAACCUAUUGCUUACAAUUGAUUUCCAAAUGUAUCUCUGAUGAAAAAAUAAGCUUAGGAUCCGCGAGGCUCCCGUGUGUUGGCGAGGUAAUGUUUAAACUCUAAAGUUUUUUAAUUGUAUUGUUAACCCCCAAAAAAGCUUUGUCGGAUGUUUUAAUAAUUCUGAAGUGAUUAAAAGUUCAGUUGAGUCCAUAUUCAACAUAUUGUCUAGAUCCUGCUACUCUUAGGAGAAAUCUGAUGGCCUCAAUUAAAAUGAAAGUUAAAGAUUAGCAUCAGCUAAUGAGAUAGCAUAAAAUGGCGCCCAUCUCAAAUAAUUUAAAUGGAUUAUAGUGCCGAGUCAUGAACAUUGCUCUUCCUGUGUAGCGUAUUGAAAAUGUCUCAUGUUUGAUUUUGGGGUGAUCUACUCUUGGGAUGUGUAUAGCCUACAUGUGUUGAUUCACCUGAGAGAGAGAAGGACUGGAGCACACAGCUAUAGGAAUAUUAGUGUGGUGUGAUAACAUUACUUGUUGUGAGAGUCUCCUUAACCCCGGCAGAGCUGAAAUGGAAGUGCGUCUGACCAGUCCCACUAGGGAGAAGCCAGAGAAGUAUCAGCGAAGGAUUAUGGGAGAUAUAGUCCAGAGCCAAAUGCAGGAAUACUACAAAAAUGAACUGGUCAGAGCUGCACAGAGCGAUCCUGUUUUCCAGAAACCUACAGUGGUGCGGUCCAAUGAGGUGGAGGAGAGGGAGCGCUACAGAUUCCAGUGGAGGAAGGAGGACAGGCAAAGAAUCGUCGGUGACAGAUUGGAGCUCUUUGUCGCCAUAGUGACGGGGUUGUUGAUGGGGUUUCUGACAGGCAGUUUUGGGGGUGUUGUCAUGGGAGGGUUGACGGGGGCAGUGAUAUGGUUUACAACAGGACUGGUCAGGAACUGGUGGAACCCCUGACUCACUAGGAGGCACCAUGUGUAGGCUAUGAAUCUAUUUUUUAUAAAGACAUUGGGAGGAUAAAACUAUUCUAAUGUGUAUAGAUGGAAGGACUUUGGUGAUGGAUCAUGUUCCUUGAUGCAAUAAUCAAACUUUGGUUAUUCAAUAUUUGGAAAUUAAUAAAAGCCCAAUAAAUAAAUAAAAUAUACAGAGCUUAUAUUAAUUAUUUUAAAAGACAGAUGAAACCCUAAUAUUCAUCAGCAGUGCUAGCCUACUUCUGUUAAGUCAGUCCUGAUAUGGGUCUGAACCUGUUAGUUCAAGGGAUUAAAAGAGAGAUUCAUCCAGCAAUAUCUUUCCCUGAUUUCAUCUGACCAAGUAUUCAGAUAUUGUCUGACGAGAGUUACAAGCCAGGCCAAUGAAAGGCCUUAAUCCUACCCAAAAUCCUUAAAAAUAACAGCAACAAGAACUAACAACUAUAUCACCAGAUACACAUGAUCAAAUAAUCAUUUAUGUAAACAAACACAGUGAGCCCACUAGAACCCAGGUCCAGCGGCUGUCAACCCAUCACAGCCCGUAUCCACAAAGCAUCUCAGAGUAGGAGUACUGAUCUAGGAUCUGUCCAUAUAAUCUUAUUCAUUAUGAUCUAAAAGUCUAAACUGAUAUUAGGUCAGCACUCCUACGGGCCCUGGUCACUACUAAUCUCAACAAUGUUGUUAUUGUUGUCGGCUCAAUCUGUCAUGGAAUCAGUAAACCUGCUCUCAUAUCUGUCAUGGAAUCAGUAAACCCUGCUCUCGUAUCUGUCAUGGAAUCAGUAAACCCUGCUCUCAUAUCUGUCAUGGAAUCAGUAAACCCUGCUCUCAUAUCUGUCAUGGAAUCAGUAAACCCUGCUCUCAUAUCGGUCAUGGAAUCAGUAAACCCUGCUCUCAUAUCUGUCAUGGAAUCAGUAAACCCUGCACUCAUAUCUGUCAUGGAAUCAGUAAACCCUGCUCUCAUAUCUGUCAUGGAAUCAGUAAACCCUGCUCUCAUAUCUGUAAUGGAAUCAGUAAACCCUGCUCUCAUAUCGGUCAUGGAAUCAGUAAACCCUGCUCUCAAUCUGUCAUGGAAUCAGUAAACCCUGCUCUCAUAUUUGUCAUGGAAUCAGUCAAUCCUGCUCUCAUAUCUGUCAUGGAAUCAGUAAACCCUGCUCUCAUAUCUGUCAUGGAAUCAGUAAACCUUGCUCUCAUAUCUGUCAUGGAAUCAGUAAACCCUGCUCUCAUAUCUGUCAUGGAAUCAGUAAACCCUGCUCUCAUAUCUGUCAUGGAAUCAGUAAACCCUGCUCUCAUAUCUGUAAUGGAAUCAGUAAACCCUGCUCUCAUAUCGGUCAUGGAAUCAGUAAACCCUGCUCUCAAUCUGUCAUGGAAUCAGUAAACCCUGCUCUCAUAUUUGUCAUGGAAUCAGUCAAUCCUGCUCUCAUAUCUGUCAUGGAAUCAGUAAACCCUGCUCUCAUAUCUGUCAUGGAAUCAGUAAACCUUGCUCUCAUAUCUGUCAUGGAAUCAGUAAACCCUGCUCUCAUAUCUUUCAUGGAAUCAGUAAACCCUGCACUCAUAUCUGUCAUGGAAUCAGUAAACCCUGCUCUCAUACUAACACAAAUAUAUAAUCUAGAUUUCGUCCUUUAAUUCAUGAUUGCUAUUCUGCUGUUCUUACAUUUAAGUCAUUUAGCAGAAGCGCUUAUCCAGAGUGAACCACAGGAACAAUUAGGGUUAAGUGCCUUGCUCUAGGGCAUUUCAACAGAUGUUUCAGCUAGUUGGCUCAGGGAUUCAAACCAGCGACCUCUCGGUUAUUGGCCCAACAUUCUUAACCGCUAGUCUACCUGCCUGGAAAGAGGCCUUCAUUAAAGUAUUAAAACUGACUGUAUAAAAUGUAAUUGCAUUUUACAGGCAUGGCAGAGGAUGUUGAAAUUAAAUGAUGUAUUACUUUCCCUUGGAUUUCCAAUAGCCUGUGAUAAGUAGUGAUGAAGCUUGUUCAGUUAUAAGAGUUAAAUGGUGCCUCCUGCUGUAUAUUGAUGGGAUUACAUGAUCUUUGAACCAGUCCCAAACCUUCCUUCUAUUCAACUAUUUUGCUUUCAAACUUUGUAUCCACCAGUGUUAUUUCAGGAUGAUUUCCACCAUAUUGUUAAUUUAUUUGAACACACACUGAAGACUAUAAUCAUCUUUUUUUGUUUUUACUGUUUAUGAAAUCUCAUUUACU